UCAGGUAGUGGGUUCCGGUGGUAGCUGAGGAAGAGGCUGUUGUUGCUGAGCGGGGACAUGGCAAUGCCAAUCUGGGCCAAGUAAUACAGCCCUGGGCCACGCCCUCACAUGCUCCAAGAAGAGGUGCAGCUCUGGGUGGCUGGCAGGGUGGAUGGUGGCCUCAAACAAUGGCAGGAAGAUGUUCUCCAGCAUCUCCUGGAAGUUGGCCAGCUGGCCCUUGGUACGGUACACGUCACUGCAGGCGAGACGAGUGCACACAGGUCCGACAUCACCUCCUGGGAUGUGCAAGGCAACUGUCACCCUCAGGCUUCUCACCGGUCACUGUCUUCGCACCCACCAGGUGUGCUCAGUCAGACCCCUUCAUGCCUCUCCCCCACCCUCCCCACCCACCCAUGC